UACAGAGGUCCCAAGCGUUGUUCGGAUUCACUGGGCGUAAAGGGUGCGUAGGUGGUGAGGUAAGUCGGAUGUGAAAGCUCGGAGCUCAACUCCGAAAUGGCAUUGGAAACUACCUUGCUCGAGGGUUGGAGGGGGGACUGGAAUGCUUGAUGUAGCAGUGAAAUGCGUAGAUAUCAAGCAGAACACCUGCGGCGAAGGCGGCCUUCUGGACGAUGACUGACGCUGAGACGCGAAAGCGUGGGGAGCAAACAGG
rnacentral:rRNA from 1 species